GUGUACGUACAAGCAGUGGGAGCACCCUUUUGGGUGUGACUGCGUACCUUUUGUAUAAUGGGUCAGCGACUUAUAUUCUGUAGCAAGGUUAACCGUAUAGGGGAGCCGGAGGGAAACCGAGUCUUAAUUGGGCGUUAAGUUGCAGGGUAUAGACCCGAAACCCGGUGAUCUAGCCAUGGGCAGGUUGAAGGUUGGGUAACACUAACUGGAGGACCGAACCGACUAAUGUUGAAAAAUUAGCGGAUGACCUGUGGCU
rnacentral:rRNA from 1 species